GAUGAAGAACGUAGCGAAAUGCGAUAAGUAAUGUGAAUUGCAGAAUUCAGUGAAUCAUCGAGUCUUUGAACGCACAUUGCGCCCCCUGGUAUUCCGGGGGGCAUGCCUGUCCGAGCGUCAUUGCCGCCCUCAAGCACGGCUUGUGUGUUGGGCCCCCGCCCCCCGGCUUCGGGGGGCGGGCCCGAAAGGCAGCGGCGGCACCGCGUCCGGUCCUCGAGCGUAUGGGGCUUCGUCACCCGCUCUGUAGGCCCGGCCGGCGCCCGCCGGCGACCCCAAUCAAUCUUUCCAGGUUGACCUCGGAUCAGGUAGGGAUACCCGCUGAACUUAAGCAUAUCAAAAGCGGAGGA
rnacentral:misc_RNA from 1 species